rnacentral:rRNA from 1 species
GAUGAACGCUGGCGGCGUGCCUAAUACAUGCAAGUCGAGCGAACGGACGAGAAGCUUGCUUCUCUGAUGUUAGCGGCGGACGGGGGAGUAACACGUGGAGAACCUACCUAUAAGACUGGGAUAACUUCGGGAAACCGGAGCUAAUACCGGAUGAUAUUUUGAACCGCAUGGUUCAAAAGUGAAAGACGGUCUUGCUGUCACUUAUAGAUGGAUCCGCGCUGCAUUAGCUAGUUGGUAAGGUAACGGCUUACCAAGGCAACGAUGCAUAGCCGACCUGAGAGGGUGAUCGGCCACACUGGCACUGAGACACGGUCCAGACUCCUACGGGAGGCAGCAGUAGGGAAUCUUCCGCAAUGGGCGAAAGCCUGACGGAGCAACGCCGCGUGAGUGAUGAAGGUCUUCGGAUCGUAAAACUCUGUUAUUAGGGAAGAACAUAUGUGUAAGUAACUGUGCACAUCUUGACGGUACCUAAUCAGAAAGCCACGGCUAACUACGUG